rnacentral:rRNA from 1 species
CAUGCCUAACACAUGCAAGUCGAACGCUUCCGGGGGUUUCGGCCUCCGGGGGAGUGGCGCACGGGUGAGUAGCGCGUGGGAACCUGCCCUGUUGUGGGGGAUAACCGAGGGAAACUUCGGCUAAUACCGCAUGCGCCCCGGAGCAAUCCGGGGGAAAGAUUGAUCGCAGCAGGAGGGGCCCGCGGCGGAUUAGCUGGUUGGUGGGGUAACGGCCUACCAAGGCGAUGAUCCGUAGCUGGUCUGAGAGGAUGAUCAGCCACACUGGGACUGAGACACGGCCCAGACUACUACGGGAGGCAGCAGUAGGGAAUUUUGCGCAAUGGGCGAAAGCCUGACGCAGCCAUGCCGCGUGUAUGAUGAAGGUCUUAGGAUUGUAAAAUGCUUUCACCGGGGAAGAUAAUGACGGUACCCGGAGAAGAAGCCCCGGCUAACUUCGUGCCAGCCGCCGCGGUAAUAC